rnacentral:ncRNA from 2 species
CCCUGCCCACGUGCGCUAGGCUGCACCCAACGGAAGCGCAGGGAAAGCCCGGUGGGAAUCCGGCACUGUCGCGCAACGGUAACCCCACCCGCGGGGAAGUCCGAACGCCUGCCCCGUGAGGCCCGCCACC